UAAUGAUAAAUACAAUUAGUUUGUUAGUAAUUCGAUCCGACUUUAUGAUAUUUCUCGAUAUAUUCGUUAGACUAAGCGACCUGGAUUUUAUUCGUCUGAAGCUCUCGAUGCAUUCCGUUUGAAUCGCCAAAUGAUACUGAUUGCCCUGCGAUCUUUUUUUUGUCUUUUCUGGGAGACGAUCCCCAUUACGCUCGGGUCACGCCACCGUUCGCGCCUAUGAUCGUGUAUGCUACUUUCUUUGUGUAGAUGAAAUAACGGAUCGAAGGCGUAUCAACGUAUCUAGAACUCGCUGCUUGAUGACAACUAUGCGCUUGUCGCUACAUUGUAUAUAUUUCGGCGGUCCUAUAAGACGAUCCGUCUGCGACACUGUAGUAUCACGAACGACGGUUAAGGACACGGCCUAUGUAUUCUUGGUGCUGAAGGAUGUCACCCCAAGGAACAAAUUAAUUCGUGGAACGUUCUCCAGUCGAACAACCUAAUGGCCAGUUUCUGGAACGGGCGAGAAAGCUCGAAGGGUGGAAUUACCAACGUGCAUACAUAUAUGGAACAGCAGCGGUUGGAAUCCCGCUAUGUCCCUUUGGCCGAUUCUGAUCGGGAAUUUCUUGCGACCUUCAGAGGGCCAGGGGAUAGUACGCGUCGGGAUUACAUCAGUAUGGAUUGCGCGUAAUACCCUGUAAACCGAGUGAAGCUUUCUUUUGUUUUUGCGUCGGCUUUCAUCUCUCUGGAAAAGCGAGAACGAUCUCCGAUAGGGAAGCAUCAAAGCGUUCCGUUUUAUCCGGUACACGUGAUCAGGAAACAGUUUCGUUCGUCAUUUCAGUCAGAUUCCAUCACAUCCAGAUGUUAUCAAACAGAUAUCAUUCGUACAAAAAUACAGGGUCCGUGCAAAUAACAUAAAAACGGAAAUGGUGUGAUUCAGAAGUAAGACAAAGAUAUGGAAUCGAACUUUUUUAUCUUCGACUUAGUUUUCCAGAAAAUCGAAUUUGAAAAUGGAUCAGAUAUACGUGAGCAUGGCUAAUUUUCGUACUACGUGUGAAAAUAAGUGGACAAUGCGGAAUAAAAUUUUUCACAGAACGCUUUGUUUCUGAGAAAAAAGUACUAAGUUGAGUCCUAAGUAAACGUGUUCACGUUCUAUUCUUUCCUUUAAACGAAGCUUUAAAACUUUUAUUAAUCCGAGAAUAAAAUUCGGACUUUAUUCUACAUUUUCAACUUAUCUUCACACUUAGAAUGACCUGCUGUCGAAUAUUUAGUCGCGUCCAGUGUGGAAUUAAACAUUUUCGAGUAUACUUGAUAAAUUUCCAAACUCGAUUUUCUCAGCAAUUGAGCCGAGAAUGCAAACAUUGUAUUUUUAUGUCUUUUUUAAUUUUUCUUCAAGAACGAAUUUUUUGACAUUAAUACAAUCGACGAUAUUUAAAUAACAAAUAUAUGUAGCGAUAUACGUAGUAAAUAUUAAGGUAUAUUAUUGUUAUAUGGUUCAGUAGAUAGUUUAGCACUGUAAUCUUUAUGACUAUAAAUCAGACGUAAAUUGUCUGGAUAUCUAUGAAGGAUAGUGCACUUGGUGCGUGCGUGUAUAUCGAUCGAAUAAAUUAGUUUAUCAGUAGAGUAUGAAAUUUCCCGUGAAAUUUUUUAAUAACACGUAUGGAACGACAGAAGAAAGGAGACUCGACUUUAUUAUGUUUCGCGGGUUUCGCGAGCAAGCUUAAUUACGCGAAUGAUAGACACGCAACAAAAAGUCCGGUGAGGAAUUCUUUGGAACCGCAAACAAUUCUCCGGCUAAUUAGCCUGAAUCUGGGCGUAAAUUGCCGAUGAAAUGGCUGUUAAAAUCCAUCGUUGAGCCGAAACGCAGAAGGAAGAGCAGAGAGUAAGCUAAAAAGAGAUGGAGAUGAAACGAAAAGAAAAAGAGGAAAAACAAAAAGAUAGUACAAAAGGUACCGCCCUUGAGGUCAUUACUGUACCGUGGUUUGGAUCGUGGCAGCCUAGAAAGUUUCUUGGUCGCUUGCCAGACACUCACGCGAGCGACCACCUUCAAAAAAUACCCGUGAAAGAGCCGAGAAUACCGAUCGUCGCGCGGCGAAUGAAAGGGGACACGGGGAGUUUGCGAAGAGGGAGCGAAAUUUCACGGGCCACUUAGAAACGAUACUCGUGACGAUUCUUUUCACCAACGUCGUCCUUCUCGUGAGUUAUGAAAUAUAGCUGCCCGAUCGGGCGUAGCUUUCAUAUUUCCUUGGAACCAGGCAACGUGCGAGCGCUUCGCUUCUCGUUGUUUUCGCCGUGGAAACGUCCACGGUGAUGUACUUUCCGUCGGAAAUACGAGUCCAAUCGUUCAUAAAGCUCCUGGGGUAUUGCUUGUAUGGCGCUCGACGAUAGGUGAAUCUACGCCCAUGCAGCGACUUCUCCUUUUUCACUGUGUUCCUCCGCGAUUCCCUUCGCUGCUCUAUUGUCUCCUCUCCGAGGCCGGAUGCAUGACGUGAUCCUCCGUCAUACAGAGCAGCGUCUGAUGAAAAUGGUAUUUGGAAAUCUGAUAAAGCGAACUACCAUCGUAAAUCGACCGUUUCGACAACCGUUCUCUUUAUCUCAUGCUGCAAGAAUCAUGGUAGUCUGGCAUUAACCUCGAUGCAAUUAAAUGAAGAAUCUGAAAUUAAGCGUUCUGGGGCAUGACAUUUUCUAUGCAUCUCGUGUUCGUAUGUGUGUAUUCUUUCGAAUGUCUUGUGGCUUUCUACGUGCUUUAUACACGGUGAGCCAAAUUUUUGUGGAAGGUACGGCAGUGGCUGAUUCAGCACUCUAAAAUAAGGAGUUCGUAUAAACAUACGUCGAUAUGACGUUGUUUUGGAGUUACAGCUUCUUUUACGAUGCCAGACAUUACUUAGAUCAACGAUUUCCUGGCAAAUAGACAGGUCGCGUUGGCCUUAUUUCCUGACCAGCUCCAUCCAUGGAUGGACCUGAAUCCACGCGAUUAUUAGUUAUGGGGACGUUUAAAAUCUCUUGUUUCUAUUACGUCAGUUGACUGUGUUAAUACUCCUCGACGUCGUGACAAUCAAAGUUAAAGAUAAAUUCGUACAAGUUCGACGAUCCAUACGAUGCGAUGCAUUUACGCUCCUGUUGAAGCUGGACCUGCUCAUUUCGAGGAAUUUUUCCGAAGGUAGGUAAGCAACUAUUACGACACGAAACGAACUAUUUGUCGAAAAAAAUGACAUAUCAAAAAGGUCGUAUCUGAACGUUUCUUCCUACUUUAGUGUGUUGAAUCGAUUUCUGUCGUAUUUCUCGCGCGUUCUGACUCACCCUGUAUGUCGAUUGAUCGACACGUGAAACCGAUACAAAGUACCGUGCAGAUUCGUUCGAAUAUCUCCGGACGAUUUGAAAUUCAAGAGUCGGAAUAAAUUCCCCGAACCUCGGUCGUCCUUUUGUCAGUUUUAUUAGGUUCUCGAAGAUACCACAGGGCUUAAGUAUAAUUCGAGAGCACAAUAACGUCUGGUAAAGUGCCAUUCCAGAGUACCACCACUGCAGAUUAUGGACAUUCCAUGUGAACGCUAAACAUUGUCACUCAUCCUACUCGAUCUUCGAUACUUCGACGUAAAAGCACUAGAGCAACCAAACAGUAUAAAUCUUGGUUGCAAGGCAACCCGUUAUCGUAAAAAGUCUCAUCGAAUAUUUCCAUGAAGCAAUCUAUUUUGGCUGAUAAAAAUUUGUAUCCUUCGACCAUGAGAAGAUUCGUCAGAAAUAAAAAAUCAUGUCUUCGACGAAUAUAAUAGAAGAAAAAAUUUCCAUAAACCAAUCUAUUUUGGGUGAUAACAAUUUGUAUCCUUCGGUCAUGAGAAGAUUCGUCAGAAAUAAAAAAACUAUUUCUUCGACGAAUACAAUAGGAGAAAAAAUAUACAUAAAACGUCAUAUAAAACAUCUUGAGAUGUUAUUAGUAUCGUGACGAGACACAACUGUUGUUUCUGUAAGUUUUUAGAUACCUUUACGAGUCGAACCAUAUAUUUUUCAUAGUCUUACUCGUAUAGUUCUUUUUUAUAGGUGCCUCCUUCAAAAUGCUCCUCAGUUGUAUAUUAUCGUUAUCGUUAUCAAACGAGCUCGAUGCUUUGUAGCUCACUUUCUUUUCUAAAAAUCUUAUUGUUUAUUAUAGAACAAUUUUCCUAAUCUUCCUCGUUAAUUCUACAUCUACGAUCGAAGCAACAAAAUCAGAAACACAGCAGAGAGAUAAGAUCUUGUAACUUCCACUCUUUGGAACUUGUUUCAAGUUUUACUAAUACAACGAACAUAGUCGUCUCUCGUAGCAUACACAAUGUGUCCGUAAAGAAUUUCUACAAGCGUUCGUACAUUUUCGUGAGCUAUCGGCCAUCGUAGACUCGCGGAUAACAAGAAAACGAACAGUUUGAGAACACUGUGAGAACAGGAGGUUGCGAACGUUGUAUUCAGGUUGGGAUCGACUGCUCGUUCAAAUAAUCUCUCGGAGGCACGUCAACGAGAACGGUGUCAUCAAUUUGACCCUGUUUUCACUUCGGUUCGAUAUUGCGAUCCGCGACCUCGCGGCGUCGAAUAUUCGCUGAUCGUGGUAUCUGACAGUAGCAAUAACGGAACACAGUCGAUUAGACUCCCUUACACUCGAUUUUAUCUUAUAUUCCUCCUUCUUUUCCUUCUGCUCUCCUCGUAUUUUCUGACAACUGUCUCAGACCGGCAAAGUAUGGUUUUACUUCGCAUUCGCAUGUGACUAUCGAUAACCAGUCGACAAGUUGGCGUUUCGUUCUUUCCACAUAUAUAACAUUAAUCGCGUGGUAGGAAAUGCAAACAAGCUGCAUAGACUGGUAGCGACAAACAAGGUGAAAAAUGUUACGGCCAGGAAAUAGUCAAAGAGACAAAGCGUUUUUGAGCGAUUAAAUUACGGUCACGAAAGCAGCAGCCAUCUUGCAUAAUAAUUUACCAAGCAAUGUUAUUAGUAAAUUAACAAGUGAAAAAGUUACUUAAAUAUCAGUGAUGUGAUAUUUUAUAGUGUUACAAUUUCACUGACUCGUAAAUUGUAAAAUUUGCCGGAAGAGCUUCGUUUACUUUAUUACCAAACUUAGUACUGCCACGCAAGAGGAUUUAUUAGUAUUAUAACUUGUAAAAUUUCACUGAUAAUAUUAGUUCAAUUGUGCAAGAGGGCUGCUUACAGUUGCACGUUUUCCGAACCAGAGCUUUCGAUCUCUCGGCGAAAUCCUCGUGGGAAACGUUGCAGCCAGUUCGAUUUUUUCAUGCCGUAGAAAUUCGCAAAGAACAGGGUCGUCCUUCGAUAUCUCCUUGCUACCUCCAUGCACCUUGUCAUUUGCAACAGAGAUACGAGUUCACGAGUUAGAUAUAUCCGGAUUUUAGAAUAUUCUAUAUCAUAGAAAAUAUUCUGUAUGAUCUCCAUAGAAAUUUCCAAUAAACUUCGAUUGUCGAUAAUUUAGAGAAUUUAAUGUCAAGAACGCGGAUGGAAAGUGGAUUAAGAGCACUGUGAUUCGUAAUAUAGAGGACUUCCAGGUAUCCCGGAAGUUCGAGGUAGUUUCUAGGUUACGAUUCUCCGGGAACGACGAUCGACAGAGUUUCCACGGUGUUUAUUAACCGCGAGACAAGGCGAAUCGUAGACUCGAAUGCGACGCCUGGGGCGUUCGACGAAUACUCAACUGUCCAGAAUUAUAUCCACGAAGAUUAGAAGCGAACCUUACCCGCAUAGACGCCUGAAAUUCGUGGAUCGAGAAUCGCUAGAUCCGAGUGUUCAAUAUCAUAACGCCUAACGUCGAGUCCCUCUGUAACUCUACCAGCUGAAUUCCAGUCGUAUUGUCAUGGUGAUCGCAGUGAUAAUGGAUGGCGGAUUUGCAGGAAUAUCGAUGGAUUGGUCGAUGGAUUUCUUGGAAACAUUGCAAUACCAAGCCUAGAUGAUGGAAAACGAGCAUUUGCCAUUACUGAGCAGCGUUAGUUAAAUGAAGGUGGAAUGGUGAAUGUCAACACAACAUCAAGUGCAUUUUACGAACUAUACCGUGGAUGCAUAACAUCGCGAGUUUAGAAUUUAACAUCGUAAGACAGUAAAGUGAAAAGAUACUAAAUUAUGAAUUCUGUAAAAAGAUUUCUGUGCUCGUGUGACUAACUUUGUCCAUAGGAGGAAUUUUUGGAACGAAUAUAUCAGAAACAGGAGAAACUUAUGGAGUGGAGUUAAGAGAUACAACGUUCGUCGACGCCAUGUGUCUUUGACUCUUUGACGAGUCAAUGUCAACACGACGACGAGUGGACUUCUCGUGCUAUGCUUCGGCGUGGAAUCUCGUGUAGAGUGUAGAAGCACAUGACGACAACUUUUGAUGGAAUUCGUGAACUGGAUACGAAGCGGACUGCUUCAAAGAACCUGAAUCGAAAAUAUCCGACUGGAUGAUAGAGAGGAACGUCGUUUGUCACGACAAAAUACCCUUUCUGGAAGUUGCCGAGGAAAACAAUUAGAUGACCUAUCGCAUGAUUCUAUCGACAUCCUUCAGGCAGCAACCUGCCAGAUGGAAGUAAAGUAUGAAGCCAGAUGGCGUCGACGUUUUGCCAGACACACAUCGCGUUCCAGAAUUUAAUUGAACGUCGUCAGGAAAAUUACUCGUAGCUAGUUGGAUCUCGACACUGUCUGGGGACAUCGGUGGAUCAAUUUUUGAAGCGCGCCAUGAAACCGACGGGGAGGGUCGUUACUAAGAACAAUGACGAUGCUGAUGCGAGACAUUCAGUCGUAAAUUAUCCCUGCAAGGUAUUAUUAAUUAAUAGCCUUGUUAAGUCACGUCACGCCGUGUCAAGAGGUGUCACAAGUUGGACACCCCAAUAAGGGGCCGUAUCUAUUUUAUAGAUAAUUAUAAUUAUAUAUGUAAUAAUACAUUUUCUGUAUUAUUUAAUUCCAUUAAAAAAUUAUAAGAAGAUACAGUAAAAUAAGACCUUGGACAUAGAA
rnacentral:lncRNA from 1 species